rnacentral:ribozyme from 1 species
CCAGUCCUGUUUGAGGCCACAGAGGAAGCACUCACAGUACAGCCCUGUCAGAUUUCAAUGAAUCUGUGAAUUCUGCU